UUGUUAGAAGGUUAUGUGUUAGCUCAAGGCUUCAUUAUUUCCUGCCUGACCUAUUGAAGUAGCCUUCUAACGG
ncrna:Canis lupus familiaris (dog) microRNA cfa-mir-872 precursor